GUCGAACGAUGAAACUUAAAAGAUUUCUUCGGAAUGACCUUAAGUGGAUUAGUGGCGAACGGGUGAGUAACGCGUGAGUAACCUGCCUUACACAAGGGGAUAGCCUCUGGAAACGGAGAAUAAUACCCUAUGACAUUACAAUCUCGCAUGAGGAAGUAAUCAAAGUGUUUUAGCGGUGUAAGAUGGACUUGCGUCUGAUUAGCUAGUUGGUGAGAUAACAGCCCACCAAGGCAACGAUCAGUAGCCGGCUUGAGAGAGUGUACGGCCACAUUGGGACUGAGACACGGCCCAGACUCCUACGGGAGGCAGCAGUGGGGAAUUUUGCACAAUGGGGGCAACCCUGAUGCAGCGACGCCGCGUGAUUUAGAAGGCCUUCGGGUUGUAAAAAUCUUUUGUAUAGGAAGAAAAUGACAGUACUAUACGAAUAAGGUCCGGCUAAUUACGUGCCAGCAGCCGCGGUAAUACGUAAGGACCGAGCGUUGUCCGGAAUCAUUGGGCGUAAAGGGUACGUAGGCGGUUAGAAAAGUUAGAAGUGAAAGGCUAUAGCUCAACUAUAGUAAGCUUUUAAAACUGUUUAACUUGAGAGAUGGAAGGGAAAGUGGAAUUCCUAGUGUAGCGGUGAAAUGCGCGGAUAUUAGGAGGAAUACCGGUGGCGAAGGCGACUUUCUGGCCAUUAU
rnacentral:rRNA from 2 species